rnacentral:misc_RNA from 1 species
CUCGAUGGCACGUAAAUCCACAUUUGUGCUCUCCUCACCGACAGCGAUCCUUGCUUUUCUUUCACACUCCCUCCUCCUUCCCUCCACAUCCACCGUCACCUGCAUCUCUGAAUCUCCCCCUUCAAAUUCGCCGCUAACAUCUCCUUCUCUCUCUUCUCUCUCUUUCUCUCUCUGGCCAUGGAUUUCGCAUAUCGAAGCAGAUCUUAUCCCAUUCUUCUUCUCAUUCUCACAUACUUAUUCUUCUUCCUAUCUUCAACAAUAAAUCUCACCAAUGCCUCUAUCCACAUCUACGACAAAGAAUCCUUGAACGAAGUUGGAAAUGCUUACCUUCUUUCCGGUGGCAGCGAAGGCAUUUUUGCCUCUGAUUCUUCCACCCCAAAUGGCCGUUCUUAUAUCAGGUUUAGGGAUAUCACUCUUUGGAGGACCAAGGAGGCUGCUGAUGAGCAUUCAGAAAUGGAACACAGUACAGGAUUGGUACAGGUUGUGAUUUUUGAGGCAGCUGACCGGAAUAAUAUUGGCGGUUCUGCUUAUGGUGGACAAAGAUCUAUUUGUUGUACCCCUGAUCUUGCUAAGCUGGAAGGUUGCAAGCAAGGUGAAGUCAUUAGGAUACCUUCAGCGACAGACAAUAAGUGGCCUAUUGUUUUGAAUGUACAAUUCAGUGGUAACUACUUAUCUACAAACAUACGAGAUGAGUAUGUUAAUGUCACGAAGACUGGGAUGUAUAACUUAUUCUUUAUCACAUGUGAUCCAAAACUCAAGGGACUAGUAAUGAGUGGGAAGACAGUUUGGAAGAAUCCUGAUGGUUAUUUACCUGGUAGGAUGGCCCCUUUAAUGAGGUUUUACGUGCUCAUGUCUCUUGCAUAUCUUUUGCUUAGUGUUAUUUGGUUUUUCCAGUACAUGAGGUUUUGGAAGGACAUAUUGCAACUUCAGCAUUGCAUCACAGCUGUUAUUGCCCUAGGAUUGUUUGAGAUGAUUCUUUGGUAUUCUGAGUAUGCAAAUUUUAACAGCACAGGAACUAGGCCAGUUGCAAUUACAACUUGGGUUGUGACCGUUGGAGCUAUAAGGAAAACUUUUUCUCGUCUUGUUAUACUCUCAAUUUCAAUGGGUUAUGGUGUCGUACGGCCCACUCUUGGUGGUCUUACCUCAAAGGUGCUUCUUCUUGGAUGUACAUAUUUUUUGGCGUCUGAGUUGCUCGGUAUUACUGAGUAUGUGGGGAGUAUUAAUGACAUAUCAGGAAGAGCAAGAUUGUUUCUAGUCCUUCCUGAUGCAUUCCUGGAUGCAUUUUUGAUACUGUGGAUAUUUACAUCGCUUUCAAGGACAUUGGAGCAGCUACAGGCAAAAAGAAGCUCUGUCAAGUUGGAUAUCUAUAGGAAGUUCUCAAAUGCACUAGCUGUGGCAGUUGUAACUUCUGUUACUUGGAUAGCCUAUGAGGUAUGAUAUGUGGGAAAGUGCACAUUGGCUUCUGUGCAAAUUUAUCACAUUUACUUGUAUUAUAUUCUUCAUUUACAUAGAUUGUCUUGGAAGAUGGAUGUAAAGUAUGUUCCAUUUACCAGUCAAAAAAUAAUCAUGUCUUUUCUGUUUUUCUAGUAGUGUGCUUGUAUUGGAAUUGAAAAAAUUGUAGUACAAUGUUUUCAUCUGGAAAAAAAUUUAUAUAUGCAAUGCAUUACUUUCCUCUUGAAUGUUGACACAGAGAACCCCCUCACAGCUUUCAUUUGCUAAUUGAGCAUAACUUAGGCUGGUUUACCUUACGCGGAUCACUUGCACAGUUGCACUUGUUAAGGAUUCAAUGAGCUAUUACCCUUAGACAUUGAGAUCUUUCAUACCAAAUAUCUUAGUUUUACAGAAAUUGCGAAGGAGAUUGUUAAAGAUAGUUGAUAGCCUGUUCUCUGGAAACAACCGGUAUCAUUUGCUGCUUCAAAUAUGAACUUUUAUUUUCCAUUUUGUUACUGAUCUUCUUUGCUUCUGUUUAGGAGGAAAACUUUUUUGUCCAAUAGAAUGUUGUUUUCUUGUAAACAAUAUGCAAAUAAUUUUUCUCCUCUAAUUAUUAAGCUGUGAAUGUGGUUUGCUUAGUUUGUUCUGAAUCUGAUAUUGCUUUCUUAUAGGUUUACUUCAAAGCAACAGAUCCAUUUAAUGAACGGUGGCAAAGUGCUUGGAUAAUUACUGCUUUCUGGGACAUUCUUGCAUUCGCCUUGCUUUGUGUUAUUUGCUAUCUCUGGGCUCCUUCUCAAAGCUCGCAACGGUAUGCCUACUCAGAAGAAGUGGGAGAGGAAUCUGUUGAUGAAGAAGCUCAUUCUCUAACAAGGGGAAAGACAGAUGGUGAUAUCAGUUUAGUUGAAAAGAAAGAGAAAAAUGCUGGGACCACAGAUGUUUAUGAUGAAACUGAAGAGGAUAAAAGAGAAUGAUUAUUUGUAAACAAAUUCUUUCAGCUGCAACCUCAUUCAGCAGUGCUGAACAAAUCGUGUCGAUUGAGCUCGAAGAGGUGAUUAGCUAUUAUUUCAGAGAUACUUCCACUAGACCUGCAGAGGAUUAAAAUUUUGACAUAAUGUGAUUAUGCUAAUUGUCCAGAAUGAAAAAAACUGCCAGGUGUCUUGUAUUUGUAUAUCAAUGAACAAAAGGUGGGUUGGAAAUGGAUACUUUGUUAGAGUACAUGAAAACAUUUUGAAUUUUAAUGCCCUAAUUGGGGCUUAGAUCAUAGUGAUUUGUAAUGAUUUUUAUCUAUUAUUUGUUCUUUUAACGGGUUUACACCCUUUUUUUUUAAGUGGAG